UUUUAGUUAGUAUAAGUUGUACAUUUACCUUCCAAGUAAAAAGUCUGUAAUUCAGACUCUUCA
rnacentral:tRNA from 1 species